rnacentral:rRNA from 1 species
AUUGAACGCUGGCGGCAGGCCUAACACAUGCAAGUCGAGCGGGGUUUUCGGACCUAGCGGCGGGCGGGUGAGGAAUGCGUAGGAAGCUACCCGAUAGAGGGGGAUACCAGUUGGAAACGACUGUUAAUACCGCAUAAUCACUACGGACCAAAGUGUGGGACCUUCGGGACACAUGCUAUCGGAUGAGCCUGAGUGGGAUUAGCUAGUUGGUGAGGUAAUGGCUCAACAAAGCGAUGUGCCCUAGCUGGUGUGAGAGGAUGAUGAGCCCUACGGGGAAUGAGGGCCGGGCCAGACGCCUACGAGAGGCAGGGGUGGGGUAAAUUGGAAGAUGGGCGCGAGCCUGAUCCAGCCAUGCGGCGUGUGUGAAGAAGGCAUUCGGGUUGUAAAGCACUUUCAGCGAGGAGGAAGGGGUGAGUGUUAAUAGUACUCAUCUUUGACGUUACUCGCAGAAGAAGCACCGGCUAACUCUGUGCCAGCCGCCGCGGUAACAC